rnacentral:tRNA from 1 species
GGUGUCGUGGCGCAAUGGUAGCGCGUUGGCUUCCGGUGCCAAAGGUUGCAGGUUCGAGUCCUGCCGAUAUCG